rnacentral:ncRNA from 2 species
UAAAAAAAUAACGGAUUAGGCGUCAUAGUACUUAAUAGAAAAGCCGGUUUAAGGCCGGCGCGGUCACGCCACUGUAUCGGGGAGCGAAUCUGCAAGAAAUGUCACUGGGGGAGACUCUGGGAAGGCGCGGAGGAGCUGUGAACCGGAGCCAGGAGAACUGCCUGAUUAACAAUCACCGU